rnacentral:rRNA from 1 species
UACGUAGGCAGCGAGCGUUGUUCGGAAUUACUGGGCGUAAAGCGUGUGUAGGCGGUGCUCUAAGUUCGGUGUGAAAUCUCCUGGCUCAACUGGGAGGGUGCGCCGGAAACUGGAGUGCUUGAGCGUGGGAGAGGAAAGCGGAAUCCCUGGUGUAGCGGUGAAAUGCGUAGAUAUCAGGAGGAACACCUGUGGUGUAGACGGCUUUCUGGACCAUAGCUGACGCUGAGACACGAAAGCGUGGGUAGCAAACAGG